GUCAGGAUAGCUCACUGGUAAACAGAGGACUGGAAAU
rnacentral:tRNA from 1 species